ACCCCACUUUUAUUAAGCCGGCUGCUUUAAUUGUUAUAUCCGUAUUAAAGCAGUGUGCUUCGGGUGGGAACAUUAAUUCUGAUUGUGUGUAUGGAAUAAAACGCAUCCCAUGAUUUAUUUCAAAGAAUAUUAUCAGAAACA